rnacentral:rRNA from 1 species
UACGUAGGGGGCGAGCGUUGUCCGGAGUUACUGGGCGUAAAGCGUCACGCAGGCGGUCCGUUAAGUUUGGAGUGACAGUUGGUGGCUCAACCACCAAAGUGCUUUGAAAACUGGCAGACUUGAGGGCUUCAGAGGGACACGGAAUUCCGGGUGGAGUGGUGAAAUGCGUAGAGAUCCGGAGGAACACCGAAGGCGAAGGCAGUGUCCUGGGGAGUACCUGACGCUCAGGUGCGAAAGCCAGGGGAGCGAACGGG